rfam:Tupaia belangeri cont1.379541, whole genome shotgun sequence.
AAACCAAAAUCCGACCCCAGCAUUAGCCACGGGGUAGGUUCUCCUCUCGAAGAAGGCAGGAUUCCUCUUCUGCCACCUGUGGA